GGGCUUGAUAUCCUAAGAACCUUUUAGAGAUAAGAGGGUGCUAGCUUGCUAGAACUUAGAGACAGGUGCUGCACGGCUGUCGUCAGCUCGUGUCGUGAGAUGUUGGGUUAAGUCCCGCAACGAGCGCAACCCACGUAUUUAGUUGCUAACGGUUCGGCCGAGCACUCUAAAUAGACUGCCUUCGUAAGGAGGAGGAAGGUGUGGACGACGUCAAGUCAUCAUGGCCCUUAUGCCCAGGGCGACACACGUGCUACAAUGGCAUAUACAAUGAGACGCAAUACCGCGAGGUGGAGCAAAUCUAUAAAAUAUGUCCCAGUUCGGAUUGUUCUCUGCAACUCGAGAGCAUGAAGCCGGAAUCGCUAGUAAUCGUAGAUCAGCCAUGCUACGGUGAAUACGUUCCCGGGUCUUGUACUCACCGCCCGUCACACCAUGGGAGUUGAUUUCACUCGAAGCCGGAAUACUAAACUAGUUACCGUCCACAGUGGAAUCAGCGACUGGGGUGAAGUCGUAACAAGGUAACCGUAGGAGAACCUGCGGUUGGAUC
rnacentral:rRNA from 1 species